CUUCGCCUUGCCGCAGACUACCAUGCAGUCGAGCGGCAGCGGAAAGUAGCUUGCUACUUUGCCGGCGAGCGGCGGACGGGUGAGUAAUGUCUGGGAAACUGCCUGAUGGAGGGGGAUAACUACUGGAAACGGUAGCUAAUACCGCAUAACGUCGCAAGACCAAAGAGGGGGACCUUCGGGCCUCUUGCCAUCAGAUGUGCCCAGAUGGGAUUAGCUAGUAGGUGGGGUAACGGCUCACCUAGGCGACGAUCCCUAGCUGGUCUGAGAGGAUGACCAGCCACACUGGAACUGAGACACGGUCCAGACUCCUACGGGAGGCAGCAGUGGGGAAUAUUGCACAAUGGGCGCAAGCCUGAUGCAGCCAUGCCGCGUGUAUGAAGAAGGCCUUCGGGUUGUAAAGUACUUUCAGCGGGGAGGAAGGCGUUGAGGUUAAUAACCUCAGCGAUUGACGUUACCCGCAGAAGAAGCACCGGCUAACUCCGUGCCAGCAGCCGCGGUAAUACGGAGGGUGCAAGCGUUAAUCGGAAUUACUGGGCGUAAAGCGCACGCAGGCGGUCUGUCAAGUCGGAUGUGAAAUCCCCCGGGCUCAACCUGGGAACUGCAUUCAAAACUGGCAGGCUAGAGUCUUGUAGAGGGGGGUAGAAUUCCAGGUGUAGCGGUGAAAUGCGUAGAGAUCUGGAGGAAUACCGGUGGGCGAAGGCGGCCCCCC
rnacentral:rRNA from 1 species